GACGAACGCUGGCGGCGUGCCUAAUACAUGCAAGUCGAACGCACAGUGUAUACUUGAGCUUGCUACACCAUAGACUGUGAUUUGUGAACGGUAGAGUAACGCGUAGUUGACCUGCCUGGUAUCGGGGGAUAACUAUUGGUAACGAUAGCUAAUACCGCAUAAUAUUAAUUAUUGCAUGGUAAUUAAGUGAAAGGUUCAAUUGCACCACUACCAGAUGGACCUAGGUCGUAUUAGCUAGUUGGUGGGGUAACGGCUCACCAAGGCGACGAUCCGUAACCGGUCUGAGAGGAGGAUCAGUCACACUGGAACGGAGACACGGUCCAGACUCCUACGGGAGGCAGCAGUGGGGAAUAUGGGAAAAUGGGCGAAAGCCUGAUCCAGCAAUGCCGCGUGGGUGAAGAAGGUCUUCGGAUGGGAAAGCACUUGAAGUUGGGAGGAAGGGCAGUAAGUUAAUACCUUGCUGUUUUGACGUUACCAACAGAAUAAGCACCGGCUAACUUCGUG
rnacentral:rRNA from 1 species